CCGCCCUUAGCUCAGCUGGAUAGAGUACCGGAUUCCGAUUCCGUUGGCCGCAGGUUCAAAUCCUGUAGGGCGGGCCA
rnacentral:tRNA from 1 species